AAAAUGAGAAGCCAUAAUUAUAAACACACGUUACACACACACACAACAAAUAUUCGCACAAAUUUCUUAAUGCCCAAAAUUUAAAAAGAUCUCUCUCUCUCUCUCUCUACAGAAGUAUCUGAGCCGUUACCGUACCCACCUUCUAUUUGCAGAGUGACCCCCCAAACACACACUCACUCACUCACAUUGGCUGAGAAAUUCACUCAUUGCGUGUGAAAAUCUCACAUACAUUCUCCUUCGAGAGCUCCAUUGUACGCUCCAGUGAUGUUAAAGCCGAGAUUCUGCUACACUUAGGGUUUCUGCUUG
rnacentral:lncRNA from 1 species